CCUACGGGAGGCAGCAGUGAGGAAUAUUGGUCAAUGGGCGCGAGCCUGAACCAGCCAAGUAGCGUGAAGGAUGACUGCCCUACGGGUUGUAAACUUCUUUUAUAAAGGAAUAAAGUGAGGCACGUGUGCCUUUUUGUAUGUACUUUAUGACUAAGGAUCGGCUAACUCCGUGCCAGCAGCCGCGGUAAUACGGAGGAGCCGAGCGUUAUCCGGAUUUAUUGGGGUUAACGGGAGCGUAGAUGGGUUGUUAAGUAAGUUGUGAAAGUUUGCGGCUCAACCGUAAAAUUGCAAUUGAUACUGGCAGUCUUGAGGACAGUUGAGGUAGGCGGAAUUCGUGGUGUAGCAGUGAAAUGCUUAGAUAUCACGAAGAACUCCGAUUGCGAAGGCAGCUUACUAAACUGCCACUGACAUUGAUGCUCGAAAGUGUGGGUAUCAAACAGGAUUAGAUACCCUAGUAGUC
rnacentral:rRNA from 1 species